AGAAAUGUAUUGAAAGAGCGGUGGCUCAGUACCUGCCCCACUUCAGAUCUUCUACCUGACUGGCUGGAAGUUUCACAAAUCACAGGUGAGACCUGCACAGAGAAGUUCUGCUACAGUUUCAUUUGGAGAUCUAGCAAAAACAGAGGAACUUAGUAGAAGAGGAGCAAAAUAGUUCUUCAUAAGUAAUAAAAGUUAUUUUGAAGCUCCUAUCAAACUUGUGUGGACCGUCUCCACUUCUACUUAUUUUGUUACAAUGUUUUGAAAUUAUAAUCUGCAUGCAGCAAGGAAUUUGAAUGCCUGUGCUACAUCAACUGUGUAAAAUGGCACUCAUUUCUUUUUCUAGAGAAGUAUUUGAGCAUUAUUCUAAGUAGUACAUUCUCUCCCAGUUGGAUUAAAUUACUGUUCUCAAAUGUAAUUCCUCUCCCAGUAUUUCAGUAGGACAGAUUGUUCCAGGUAUGAUUUGCAAGUCUUGAGCUGUAUUUUCAAAUUAUUCCUGAAGGAUGGUAGGUCAUAAUGAACAACUCUACUUGGUGACAAAUAAAUUUAAGUCAUACUAGAAGAGAAUAUCAGCAAAUACACAGAUCUAGCCAACUUUGUAUGGUUUUUGUCUGUUGGAAAUUAUAGUUAAAAAGAUAUUAUCAGUUAACAUUUGAAAGUUGAAUGUUUGACUUGUGUAAGAGGAAGUGAUUAAAUAAGUGCUGUAACAAUA